rnacentral:rRNA from 1 species
CCCUUAGAUGUUCUGGGCCGCACGCGCGCUACACUGAUGCAUUCAACGAGUUACCUUGGCCGAGAGGCCUGGGCAAUCUUUUGAACGUGCAUCGUGAUAGGGAUAGAUUAUUGCAAUUAUUAAUCUUGAACGAGGAAUUCCUAGUAAACGCAGUUCAUCAAACUGCAUUGAUUACGUCCCUGCCCUUUGUACACACCGCCCGUCGCUCCUACCGAUUGAAUGAUCCGAUGAAUAUCAUGGAUUGAGGAUGCAAGCAGGUUCGCCUGUCUUCAUCUUCGAGAAGUGAAGUAAAUCUUAUCAUUUAGAGGAAGGAGAAGUCGUAACA